rnacentral:lncRNA from 1 species
GGUGGGUCCCUGGCUAGGGCUCCACCCCCAUGAAUCUAGGGGUGCUCAAUGUCAUCACAAGGGUCCUUAAGAGGGAAAGAGGAAGCCAUGAGGGUCAGAGUCAAAGGAAGACUUGAAGAUACUACACUGAGGACUUUAAAGAUGAAGGAAGGGGCGAAAACCAAGAAUGUGGGAAGCCUCUAGAAGCUAGAGAAGGCAAGGAAACAGAUUUUCCACUAGAGCCUCCAGAAGGAACACAGCCCUGCUGACCCACUGUAAUGUCUGACCUCUAGAUGUGUAAGGGUAGUAAGACUGAAAGUCUCAGAAAGGCACUGUUACAUUCUUAUUCCACAACCAUGCAACUCAAAACUGGGGUCCUCAGCAAUGAGCGAGGGGCGAGAGAAGGCACUGUAUAAACAUGGCACAUCCUCCUGGAAAGUCAACUUUACUCAAAGGUUCUUACACACAGUGACAGCUAGCAGAGUCUAAAGUGCUGACAUUAUGACUUAGAGAUGUGAUAAAGAGAAACAUCUAUUGCAUUUUCUUGGCUCGUGUGGAAUGACUUAUCCUGGAAUUUAGAGUUGAAGAUAAUCCUGAUGCUUCAAAGAGAAGAGUUGGAACACAGUCCUUUUUCUAAACAGAGGAAUUGUUGAAUAUGCAACUGGUCCUCUGACUUAACUAAUUAUUUAAUUUGGAAGUUAUAGGCUUUUUAUCACUUGAGGAGCAGCUUUCUCUGAACAAAUACAGUGUCCCCUGGGGUGUCCAAAAUUGUGACAGAAAAGUAGCGCCAGCUUGAAAUUAGCUAGUCAUCACACAGUGGCGUCAUGUGAAUGAAGACUCCCCCAAAUCUAUGACUCUCUUCUAUCCUUAUGAACUAAUUCAAUAAAUAAAUGAGCACUUUCUCAGUUCCCAAACUGAGAGCAGUUUUAAAAAAUAAUGAGAGCCCAGAUAUCUAUUUAGAGAGAUGGCGAGACAGAGGAGAGAGCAAGUUGCACACCACGAAACAAAGGGAAAGAUAAGAAGAGAGAGUGUGUCACUACUUCCCCGUGGCAGAAUCACAAUCUUCUUUUGGAUGUCAUGUUGAAAAGAUUCCCAAUUCGUAGUUCUGUGAGCUAAAGCAGAUGGAUGCUCCAUGUUGGUACAAAUUCCUAUUUGAAGCAGUGUGGUUGCAAAGAUGGGGUUUGGGUCAUUUGAUUUUCUCUGAAAAACAAUCUUGUGUAACUGUUAAAAGAAUUUAUAAUACCCAAUGCAAUGUAUCAUCCAUGAUGCUUCUUCAAAAAUGUUAAAUAAAUGCUGAAACCAGUGUUUCAAA